CUCUUAUCUUUAAAGAUGGCAAAAAUGAAGCUGCUGGAAAAAGGCUGUCUGUGAGAAGUGUUUUAAGCUUUUUUUUAAACUUUAAUCAUUAAUAACGUGACAUAUAGGAUGAAAUGUUAAGUGAACCUGAUAUGGGCAUGGUCGGGUAUAUAUACAUACACAUACACACAUACUCAAAACAAACAAUUAUUGUGUAAUAGUAAUAAUAAUCAUUUAUUGUAGUUCAGAGCUUAUGUGAGGUUGUAGUGUUUAUUAGCCUCAUGGCUGUUUGGAAGAAGCUGUCCCUGUUUCUAUGCAAGAUCUCUAAACUAAACUAUGUUAAUCUACACAGGACAUGGGAAAUGUGUUAAAUGAGUAAUUUGCAUCAGGAUUCACCAAGGGAAGGACAUGCGAGCUGGGAGAGGGAUCUUGUGGGCUGAGGCAGUAUGAGAUCAAGAUGGGCAUGGGGCUGGGUGUUUUGAAGAGCAUUAAGGUGGACAUGUCCUCAGAGUAUGAUUGGAUCUAUCUCAGGCUAUUAAAAGAGGCAAAGCAGGAGAAUACUGGGGCCCAGAUGAAGAUCUUUGCAUCCUCACUAUUAACAGUCCAGAUCCUGGAGGAUUGGAGAGCAUAGUUUGUUCAAAAGAGGAAAUAGAGAUAAUCCAGGACCGUGGAGGCCCCAACGUUAUUAAUAUCCCUCCUCUGUAUUUCUAAAAGGACCAUGGCGGUUGCAAAGUAUUCUAUGGAAGCAGAAGCUACCAACAAGAUUGGGAAACGUCUCUCAAAACAGGUCGAAACUGUGGGGUUGCUGGCCAGCAAACUGACCACGAUUGGGAACAGAGCCCCGAAUAAAGCAGAUGUUCAUGUGAUCCAGUGGCUGGUCCAGAAAGCACACUGUGAAGCAAAGGAGGCCUAUGACAUGGCUGUUGGCUAUCUGAGAGAGGUUCAGUUCGUCUGUGAGAAACUAAUGGAAGAGAAAGGCAGAAUGCAAGAAGAGAUGAAACUGAAGAAACAGGAACUGAGUGCCUUACAAGGACAGCUUCCAACCAUUAGACAGGAGAAGGUCAACCAAGAACAUUACAUGCUUAGCUUAAGAGAGUCACUGAGAGUGGCAGAGAGAGCAUUGGCGGCACAAAGGGAACAUGAGAGGUCUAUGGAAACUGGGCGGAAUGUGAGCAUGUGGCUAAUGCUUAUUCCCAUUAUUGGCACCAUAGCAGGUGAGUUAUUGCGAAGUGAAGAUCCAAAUAUAGAUUGAAUGUAUUAGUUCAUCCAGGUUUUGAUUUAUCAGAAGUCCGAGUGAGAGGGAAGUUCAGAACAUCCAGAAGCAGUUCUCAGACUACGGAUAUUGCAAAGGAUCUUGACAGUAAAUGAAAAGAUGUUAAACACUGACUCGUUCCUUUCCAAUAAAACUGUUGGACACAUAUAGUGGAUCAGGCAGGAUCUGUGGACAAAGAAGAUGCGUUAACGUUACAAGCUAUCUGAUGAAGGGUCUAUGACCUUUCAUCAGAACUGUGUAAAAAUGGAAAUAAAUCAGUUUCAAGAUGUGGAGUACAUCUUGAGAGACUGGCAAGAUCUGUGAUCGGGUGGAGGAUGGAGGGUUUUAGAUGACAAAAGGUGUUCAGUGAAAGUGGAAUCGAGAAUAACAACAGGUGACUGGGAUGGUUGAUUAUCUCAAUGCCCCAAACUCAGUGUUGAUUCCCAAAGUUGUGUCCCAUUGGGAGACGAGGUGCAGUCCCUGAGCUUAAAUGGGCUUCAUUAGACCAGUGGUGGUGAAUGCAGCCUCGGUUAAGUGGGAUUGGGAAAGAAAAUGUCUUCCGAAUUUCCAACAAUUGACGCAAUUUGCUUUUGUUUUUUUUUGCUGUGGAUGCAUGAAUGAAAACAAAAAUUAGGAUCUCAAGAGAAGCUUUUGAGAAGAGCAUCAUAUAUGACUCCCGUGUUCAAGGAGGUAGUUAUGGUCCAAUUAAUCUAACAUUUUUUUAUUGGCAGGGUGCUAGUGAGAAAUCAAAAGAUGAAGUAGCUGAUUUUGUAGGAAACCAAGUCAACACAGUUUUAUGAUAGGUAAAGCCUGUUUGACCAAUUUGCUGUCAUUACAUGGGAAUUUGACAGGGAAACUUAAUAAAUACAAUAUAUCUUCAAGUUUGUUUCAGCGAGGGUGCAGGUUUACCCAAGGUGAAAUAUUUUUUUUAAUUAUUUUUUUUAAAGUUUUUGUUUUCAGAGUGGAUGGUGAGUAUUUGGAACAAAUCUCCAAGAAUGGUGGUGGAGGCAGAUACAAUCAUUACAUUUAAGAGGCUUUUAGAUAGGCAUUUAGACAUACAGGGAAUGGAGGAGUAUAAAUCACAUGUGGGCACACGAGAUUAUUUCAGAUUGGCAUCAUGUUUGGCACAGACAUUGUGGGGCAAAGCGCCUGUUCCCGUGCUGUACUUUUCCAUAUUCUCUGUGGCCCUCUAGAAUUCCAAAACACGUUUGACAAGAUACCGCAUAAAGGUCCAGGGCAUAAAUGAAGAGCUCAUGGUACUGGAGGAAGUGUGUCCGAAGUUGAUGUCAAUACUGACUGGCCACAAUUACAUUAGAUUAGGGACAGACCUGAGGGAUCGUGGCCUUAUCCUGCUGCUGUAAGAGAGAAUUUCUGCUUACUUCAAACAGCACAAAGUGCUGGAAUAACUCAGAGGAUCAGGAAGCAUCUCUGGGGAAAAUGGGUGUGAUGUUUUGGGUCAGGACCCUUCGUUCAAGUCAAGGUUAUUCGUCACAUACACAUACGAGAUGUGCAGUGAAAUGAAAAGUGGCAAUGCUCGUGAACUUUGUGCAAAAAGACAAACAAACAAACUAUAAACACACUCAUAAACACACACAUAUUCUUUUACAUAUUAAAUAUUGGAAGGAAAAACGUUCAGUAAAGUUAGUCCCUGGUGAGAUUUACAGUCCGAAUGGCUUCUGGGAAGAAACUCCUUCUCAACCUCUCCUUUCUCACAGCAUGGCAACGGAGGCGUUUGCCUGACCGUAGCAGCUGGAACAGUCCGUUGCAGGGGUAGAAGGGGUCUCCCAUGAUUUUAUUGGCCCUGGAGUUGUACCUCCCGAUGUAUAGUUCCUGCAGGGGGGCGAGUGAAGUUCCCAUAGUGCGUUCGGCCGAACGCACUACUCUCUGCAGAGCCUUCUUGUUCUGGGCAGAGCAAUUCCCAAACCAGAUGGUAAUAUUACCGGACAAGAUGCUUUCCACAGCCGCUGCGUAGAAGCACUGGAGGAUCCUCGGAGACACUCUGAAUUUCCUCAAUUGCCUGAGGUGGUAAAGGUGCUGCCUUGCCUUAUUCACGAGUGCUGCGGCGUGUGAUGUCCAUGUCAUAUCCUCAGAGAUGUGGACUCCCAGAUAUUUAAAACAGCUCAACCUAUCCACAGGAUCCCCAUUUAUCCUCAAUCGUCACACUGAUAAAUGACGUUUCAGGUUGGGUCCCAUCUUCGGACUCUUCUUCAGUAGUUCAAGGCUCUGCUUACUUCAGUUUGAAGCGACCAGUUCCUUAUCUUGUAGUUAUGUCUCAUGCACCACAUUCUCCCUGUGGUGAAAACAUUUGUGUCAAAUCUUCCUUAUCAUCUGACAUGCUUGGAUGACAACAGAAAAUAGUUGCAGGAGUAGGCCAUUUGCCAGCACCGCCAUUCAAUGUGAUCAAGGCUGAUCAUCCACAAUCAGUAUCCCGUUCCGGCCUUCUCUCCAUAUCCCUUAACCACUAUCCAUAAGAGCUCCAUCUAACAGUCUCUGGAAAACAUCCAGAGAACCGGCCUCCACAACUCUCUGAGACAGAGAAUUCCACACACUCACAACUCUCUGUGUGAAAACGUUUUUCCUCAUCUCCACUUUAAAUGGCUUAUCCCUUAUUCUUAAACUAGGGCCCCUGGUUCUGGACUUCCCCAACAUUUGGAACAUGUUUUCUGCCUCUAGCAUGUCCAAUUGAAUGGCGGUGCAGGCUCGAAGGGCCGAAUGGCCUACUCCUGCACCUAAUUUCUAUGUUUCUAUGUCUAUGUUUCUAACCCUUAAUAAUCUUAUAUGUUUCAAUAAGAUCCCCUCUCAUCCAUCUAAAUUCCAGAGUAUACACGCCCAGCCGCUCCAAUCUAUCAACAUGUGACAGUCCCGCUAUCCCGGGAAUUAUCCUUGUAAACCUAUGCUGCACCCCUCAAUAACAAGAAUGUACUUCCUCAAGUUUGGAGACCAAAACUGCACACAACUCUCCAGGAGGUAUAUCUGCCAUUGCUUGUGAAGUCAGCAGAGCUCAGGCAGAGGACAAUUGUCGAUCGCUUGGUGAAGAAGUGCGGAGAGGAGAGGAGAAAGUUUCAAAAUGUUCAUCAGAUCUGCAAUCUUGUAUCUCACGCAUAGAGAAGAUGGGAAACGAGAUUCACCAGACUGAAAAAAGAAUACAAGCUGUGGACGAUCAACUGAACAGGCAGCAAGAGCGACUGGAAUAUUUCUUUGCUAUAGAUUGCCAGCUGAAACAUGGAACACUCAGUAUGAGUGAACUGCUCGGGAAAGUGGAAGUGCUGAAGUGGCGCAGUGAGAAAUUCCUGAAUCUGGAUGUUCUGAUCAUUGUUGUACAGGACGUAAUUGCCCACAUAUUAAAGCUGCCUAACCUGCUACAGGGGAAGAUUCUGCAUUUGGAGCCAAACACUGUUAACAUGCUGACAACCUUCAGUCAUCAGCUGAGGGCGAUUGAGUGGUCAGAUUCAGAUGUCAAUGAGCAGGAGAACUGUGUUGUGGCACAUGGCACUGUGUCACUUAAGGCAACUGAUGUAAUCUAUGCUUUCUUAUUUCUCUUACUCUCUCUGUCCCUGUGGCUCGUGAUGAAGUUUUAUCUUUAAGGUGUUGCGUCAUCCAGCACAGAAACAUGCCUUUCGAGUUAGGCCAACCACAGCCCACCCAUUUACAAUGACCCUGCAUUAAUCUCAUAUUGUUCCUCCCACAUUUCCACAAAACACCAUGUCACUGCAGUGCUGUGAUCAAAGUUGUCUUAUUCGACUCUCUCUCUCUGACCUCAGGUCCCUAAUGCUAUGUUAUCUUCACAAGUCAUUGAGUCACCCAGCGGCGAGUCUAGGCCAACCAUUUACAUUAAUCCUGAAUAAGAUAAUUUUUUUAUUUUUCCUGCAUUCCCACCACCUCCCCACAGAUUCUCCUACUCAUACACUCACACACUCCCACACAACCCGGGUCUCUGGCACAUAUAUUAUAUAUUUUUACAACCACACAAAGAGAUGUUUAGGUUAAUACCAGCAUAAAAAUUCUAGGAAAAUAUAUUUAACUAUCUAGAUGAAGUUGAACAUUGAUAUUGAGGGAUAUGGUUCAAAUAUUUGCAAAUUAUUCCCACAGUUUAUAAUGAUUCAAGGCACUGAUCUAAGCCACAUGUCGUUCACAGUGAUUUUAAUCAGAUACAUCCAACUGUCUGUGCAGCCUUGUUAAGUUUCCAGCUGGCCAUGACUAAAUCAUAUCAACCAAUAUCUUGUAUUAGAAACAUAGAAACACAGAAAAUAGGUGCAGGAGGAGGCCAUUCGGCCCUUCGGGCCAGCACCGCCAUUCAUUGUGAUCAUGGCUGAUCGUCCCAAAUCAAUAACCCGUGCCUGCCUUCUCCCCAUAUCCCUUGACUCCACUAGCCCCUAGAGCUCUGUCUAACUCUCUCUUAAAUCCAUCCAGUAAUUUGGCCUCCACUGCCCACUGUGGCAGGGAAUUCCACAAAUUCACAACUCUCUGGGUGAAAACAUUUUUUCUCACCUCAGUCUUAAAUGGUUUCCCCUUUAUUCUAAGACUGUGGCCCCCUGGUUCUGGACUCGCACAACAUUGGGAACAUUGUUCCUGCAUCUAGCUUGUCCACUCCUUUUAUAAUUUUAUAUGUUUCUGUAAGAUCCUCCCUCGUCCUUCUAAAUACAAGCCUAGUCUUUUCAAUCUUUCCUCAUAUGACAGCCCCGCCAUCCCAGGGAUCAAUCUCGUGAACCUACGCUGCACUGCCUCAAUCAUAAAGAUGUCCUUCCUCAAAUUAGGAGACCAAAACUGUACACAAUACUCCAGAUGUGGCCUUAUCAGAGCUCUAUCUGCAGAAGAACCUCUUUACUCCUAUACUGAAAUCCUCUUGUUAUGAAGGCCAACAUUCCAUUAGCUUUCUUCACUGCCUGCUGUACCUGCACGCCAACUUUCAGUGACUGGUGUACAAGGACACUCAGGUCUCGCUGUACCUUCCCCUUACUUAACCUAACCCCAUUGAGAUAAUAAUCUGCCCCCUUGUUUUUGCCGCCAAAGUGGAUAACCUCAAUUAUACUGAAAUGUUUGCACGGUGAUUUAAAUGAUCCAUGUAUCACUAUGCUUGUUAUUAAAUAUGAAUAUG